rnacentral:rRNA from 1 species
UACGUAGGGUGCGAGCGUUGUCCGGAAUUAUUGGGCGUAAAGGGCUCGUAGGCGGUUUGUCGCGUCGGGAGUGAAAACCCAGGGCUUAACUCUGGGCUUGCUUUCGAUACGGGCAGACUAGAGGUAUGCAGGGGAGAACGGAAUUCCGUGGUGUAGCGGUGAAAUGCGCAGAUAUCAGGAGGAACACCGGUGGCGAAGGGCGGGAUUCUCCGUUGG